GGGGAAUAUUGCACAAUGGGGGAAACCCUGAUGCAGCAACGCCGCGUGAGUGAUGACGGUCUUCGGAUUGUAAAGCUCUGUCUUUGGGGACGAUAAUGACGGUACCCAAGGAGGAAGCCACGGCUAACUACGUGCCAGCAGCCGCGGUAAUACGUAGGUGGCGAGCGUUAUCCGGAAUUAUUGGGCGUAAAGGGAGCGUAGGCGGAUAAUUAAGUGGGAUGUGAAAUACUCAGGCUCAACCUGGGGGCUGCAUUCCAAACUGAUUAUCUAGAGUGCAGGAGAGGAGAGUGGAAUUCCUAGUGUAGCGGUGAAAUGCGUAGAGAUUAGGAAGAACACCAGUGGCGAAGGCGACUCUCUGGACUGUAACUGACGCUGAGGCUCGAAAGCGUGGGGAGCAAAC
rnacentral:rRNA from 1 species